GAUGAAGAACGUAGCGAAAUGCGAUACUUGGUGUGAAUUGCAGAAUCCCGUGAACCAUCGAGUCUUUGAACGCAAGUUGCGCCCGAAGCCAUUAGGUUGAGGGCACGUCUGCCUGGGCGUCACAUAUCGUUGCCUGAUGCCAGUUUCCUCGUGAUGGGUGACUGUGCAGGGCGAAUGAUGGCUUCCCGUGAGCAUUGUUGCCUCAUGGUUGGUUGAAAAUUGAGUCCUUGGUAGGGAGCGCCGUGAUAGAUGGUGGUUGAGUGACGAACGAGACCCAAUCAUGUGAGACCCCUACCGAAUUUGGCCUUCAUGACCCACAUGCGUCUUUGGAACGCUCAUGACGAGACCUCAGGUCAGGCGGGGCUACCCGCUGAGUUUAAGCAUAUCAAUAAGCGGAGGA
rnacentral:misc_RNA from 1 species